rnacentral:rRNA from 1 species
UACGAAGGGGGCUAGCGUUGUUCGGAAUCACUGGGCGUAAAGCGCACGCAGGCGGAUCGUUAAGUCAGGGGUGAAAUCCCGAGGCUCAACCUCGGAACUGCCUUUGAUACUGGCAAUCUUCGAGUCCGGGAGAGGUGAGUGGAACUCCGAAGUGUAGAGGUGAAAUUCGUAGAUAUCUGGAGGAACACCGGUGGCGAAGGCGGCAUCCUGGACCGAUACUGACGCUGAGGAGCGAAAGCCAGGGGAGCAAACGGGG